rnacentral:tRNA from 1 species
GUUUUAAUAAUUUAAUAAAAAAUAUUGAUUUUGUAAAUCAAAUUUAGAAAUUCUUUAAAACU